rnacentral:rRNA from 1 species
UACAGGGGGGGCAAGCGUUGUUCGGAAUUACUGGGCGUAAAGGGCGCGUAGGCGGCCAACUAAGUCACACGUGAAAUCCCCAGGCUUAACCUGGGAACUGCGUGUGAUACUGGAUGGCUUGAAUUCGGGAGAGGGAUGCGGAAUUCCAGGUGUAGCGGUGAAAUGCGUAGAUAUCUGGAGGAACACCGGUGGCGAAGGCGGCAUCCUGGACCGACAUUGACGCUGAGGCGCGAAAGCGUGGGGAGCAAACAGG